GCCCCGGCCGCCACUCCCAUGGCGCUCCCCGCCGGUGCCAUGCGGUGCCGGGUUGGCCUGCUCAGAUGUAUGGGACAGUCCAGUGUCAGACUAUCAACCUGAAAGGGAUUUUGGCUUUCUUUAGUGGUUAGCGAGGUGGUCAGGGAAGCAAUGGUGGGCUCUCUCUAAGCAUCUAAUACCCAGUACUGGGCCUCUAGUCCAUCACAGACACCUUAUCCUGGUCUCACAUAUCUUGGACACACUGGACAUUACCGACACCGGCCCGGUCUGGCUCUGGUAGCCACAGACUGUAGCAGUGUAGAUGGCCGCAGCACCGAGGUCAAUGUCCCCUUACCGACGCCCAUACAGCCACAUGCCACACUUCAGCAUGCAGACAUCCAGUCCCAGGACGAGCCAACAGAACAUCUGACCAUGGAGCUUGCCAGGCAGUGGAUCCUACAGGUCUGCAAUCACAGAGAAAUCAUAUCAUUUUCCAUCCAUAUUAAGACGCAGGCAGGCACAGCCCUCUCCAUCACUGGUGCCCCUGACAACACAGGAAAUGGAUCCCACCCGGUGGCAGCCUCAGCCUUCACACUAUUUAGCACCACAAUUAUCCCCCAUUCAUUCACAGGCUGGAUGAACCAUAUAAGGCCAACUGUGAUUCAGCGAUGAUCAGCGCAAUGUGAAACCACGGGUCUGGCCUGGCAAUUUGAUGUAAUUGUGCUGCUGUGAUCUUCUGUAGUAGGUGAGACACCUCCUUUAUUGUGCCAUUCUACUGGAAGGAGAGAAUUGGAAUGGAGUCUUUGAUUUUAGGUGGACACAGUCAUAAUAUCUGUAAGAAGUACAAUGGUGUAGCAUAUCGUGGGUGAUCAAACAGAGUAGGGGAAAAUGAACAGUGAUGUAAAGUACUUAAGUAAAAAAUACUUUAAAGUACUACUUACGUCUUUUUUGGGGGUAUCUGUACUUUACUACCUUUCAAAAAGUUAGGGGUCACUUAGAAAUUUCCUUGUUUUUGAAAGAAAAGCACCUUUUUUUGUCCAGUAAAAUUGAUCAGUAAAAUUGAUCAGAAAUACAGUGUAGACAUUGUUAAUAUUGUAAAUGACUAUUGUAGCUGGAGACAGCAGAUUGUUAAUGGAACGUCGACAUAGGUGUACAUAGGACCAUUAUCAGCAACCAUCUCUCCUGUGUUCCAAUGGCACAUUGUGUUAGAUAAUCCAAGUUUAUCAUUUUAAAAGGCUAAUUGAUCAUUAGAAAACCCUUUUUGCAAUUAUGCUAGCACAGCUGAAAACUGUUGUUCUGAUUAAAGAAGCAAUAAAACGGGCCUUCUUUAGACUAAUUGAGUAUCUGGACCAUCAGUAUUUGUGGGUUCGAUUACAGGCUCAAAAUGGCCAGAAACCAAGUACUUUCUUCUGAAACUCGUCAGUCUAUUCUUGUUCCGAGAAAUUAAGGUUUUCCAUGCGAGAAAUUGCCAAGAAACUGAAGAUCUCAUACAACGCUGUGUACUACUCCCUUCACAAAACAGUGCAAAUGGUCUCUAACCAGAAUGGAAAGAGGAGUGGGAGGCCCAGGUGCACAACUGAGCAAGAGGACAAGUACAUUAGAGCAUCUAAUUUGAGAAACAGACACCUCACAAGUCCUCAACUGGCAGGUUCAUUAAAGUACCCGCAAAACACCAGUCUCAAUGUCAACAGUGAAGAGGCGACUCCGGGAUGCUGGCCUUCUAGGGAGUGACGGUUGCUGAUAAUGGGCCUCUGUAUGUCUAUGUAGAUAUUACAUUAACAAAACUGCCGUUUCCAAGCUACAAUAGUCAUUUACAACAUUUCCUGACACACAAAAGUACUCGUUACAUUUCGAAUGCUUAGCAGGACAGGAAAAUGGUCCAAUUCACACACUUAUCAAGAGAACAUCCCUGGUCAUCCCUACUGCCUCUGAUCUGGCAGACUCACUAAACACAAAUAUUGCAUUUGUAAAUGAUGUCUGAGUGUUGGAGUGUGCCCUUGGCUAUCGGUAAAUAUAAAAAAACAAGAGAAUGGUGCCAUCUGGUUUGCUUAAUUUAAUAUAAGGAAUGUGAAAUUAUGAUACUGAAGUGUAUUUUAGUAAUUACAUUUACUUUUGAUACUUGAAGGGAUACUUCAGAAUUUUUGCAAUGAGCCCCUUAAUCUACUUCCCCAGAGUCAGAUAAACUUAUGGAGACCAUUUUUAUGUCCAGUAUGAAGGAAGUUAGAGGUAGUUUGACGAGCCAACGCUAACUAGCGUUAGCACAAUGACUGGAAGUCUAUGGGUAUCUGCUAGCAUGCUAAUCUCGGUUGGAAUGGAGGUAGGGCAAGGAACGAACAUCCUCCCACCACCAUGGUCAUGGGGAGCUGUAGGGACGGCACAGAGCACAGUGAACCCGGUGACCUUUAGCUAAUGGAGGUCUGGCCUCUGAUCAAUGCACUGAGAGACUGACAGAGGCCAUCUUGCCCUUUCACUGAGAGAUGGGAUGGAGGGGACAGAGGGGGACGGAGGGCGGCAGCCAACAGGCGCGCCAUGCAGCCAUCGACCCUGCCAGUCUCCCAUCCUGUGGGUGACAGCUGUGCCAGCGGGCCUGGGGAUGGUAAUGUCAAGAUGCCACUCUGCCCUGCCACCAAGGAAGGACAGCCAACCUCUCAG